rnacentral:rRNA from 1 species
GAUGAACGCUAGCGGCAGGCCUAAUACAUGCAAGACGAACGGUAAGUUGAGUAGCAAUACUUAGCCAAGAGUGUCGUACGGGUGCGUAACACGUAUGCAACCUACCCUAUACAGGAGGAUAGCCUAGGGAAACCUGGAUUAAACCCUUCAUAGUAUUAUUGGAUGGCAUCAUUUGAUAAUUAAAACUGAGGUGGUAUAGGAUGGGCAUGCGUCUGAUUAGUUAGUUGGCGGGGUAAUGGCCCACCAAGACGAUGAUCAGUAGGGGUUCUGAGAGGAAGAUCCCCCACACUGGCACUGAGAUACGGGCCAGACUCCUACGGGAGGCAGCAGUAGGGAAUAUUGGUCAAUGGAUGCAAGUCUGAACCAGCCAUGCCGCGUGCAGGAAGAAGGCCUUUCUGGGGUUGUAAAACUGCUUUUUGCCAAGGGGGAUAAAAAUUUUCCAUGCGUGGAAAAACUGAAGGUACCUGGUGAAUAAGCCACGGCUAACUACGUGCCAGCAGCCGCGGUAAU